rnacentral:misc_RNA from 1 species
CUGAAAUUUUGGAACCGUAAACACGUU